AUUGAACGCUGGCGGCAGGCCUAACACAUGCAAGUCGAGCGGAGCGUCAGACGGGUGAGUAAUGCCUAGGCAUCAGCCAGGUGGUGGGGGAUAACUGCCGGAAACGGGAGCUAAUACCGCAUACUAGCAGACGACUUUAGGCCGGAUUAGCUAGUUGGUUGGGUAAUGUCCUACAAAGGCUACGAUCCGUAGCUGGUCUGAGAGGAUGAUCAGUCACACUGGAACUGAGACACGGUCCAGACUCCUACGGGAGGCAGCAGUGGGGAAUAUUGGACAAUGGGCGAAAGCCUGAUCCAGCCAUGCCGCGUGUGUGAAGAAGGUCUUCGGAUUGUAAAGCACUUUAAGUGGGGAGGCGUUACCAACAGAAUAAGCACCGGCUAACUUCGUGCCAGCAGCCGCGGUAAUUC
rnacentral:rRNA from 1 species